rnacentral:lncRNA from 1 species
ACAUAUUCAUUUCAUUUUUAUUUAACAUACAUACAUAUUUUGCACUAGCCUUCUGUAUAAUAUUGGACCCUACUACACUACCUUAUAUAUAACCGGGUCUUUCUUCUCCAUCAAGUUCAUUCAUAAAGAUACAAUCAUAACUACACAUACAUACAUGUGUCAUUUUGACUGAGAAACCAUUUCUUUCUUGGCCAUCUAUAUGAGAGAUGAUGCAUAUUAUUCAGUUUCGGUGUUUUUAAACCACGGUGCGGCAAAAGAUGUCAGAUCAACUUCGUGAAACUUGGAAUAACCACCGUGUGUUCAGAAUCUUCGUAUUCCUCACAUUCCUCAUUCUUCUAUGUAUACUCAUUCUCUUUACAACAUUUGCCAUCAUUCGCUUAAUGGUCUUCUACACAUGAUGAUGACUCAGAUCCAUUAAUAUUAUAUUAAGUCUCUGAAACCUCAUACGUCAUCAUAAUCCAUUUUCUACUUUAAAUCGAAUUAUAAU